UACGUAGGGGGCAAGCGUUAUCCGGAUUUACUGGGUGUAAAGGGAGCGUAGACGGCAGCACAAGUCUGGAGUGAAAUCCCAUGGCUUAACCAUGGAACUGCUUUGGAAACUGUCAGUCUUGAGUACCGGAGAGGUCAUCGGAAUUCCUUGUGUAGCGGUGAAAUGCGUAGAUAUAAGGAAGAACACCAGUAGCGAAGGCGGCUGUCUGGUCUGCAACUGACGUUGAGGCUCGAAAGCGUGGGGAGCAAACAGG
rnacentral:rRNA from 1 species